rnacentral:lncRNA from 1 species
UUAAUUCAGUUCUAUAAUGAUCUGUUGCAUGUGCUCUGCUUAUUUUUUAAGUCUGCAUUCAGUGGUGGCUGUGGCUGAGUGAUGCAGAUUCCAAAAAUAACGAGGGAAGGGCAGGUUUGUACAUUGAUGAAGGUCACACCUAACAGGAAAACGAGUGCAUGGGAUCACAUGAAUCUGGAUAAAGCCCUUUCUCUAGUGAUCUAAGACGUCUUAAAUUAAUUUACAGAGGGAGUGCAUCAUACAAGAAUAAUAACAUUACAAACGAUGUGACUGGACUCCACUAAUUUAAACUAGAGCCGAUCACCAUCCACAAUUCAGACUGGUGGGCUGGUUAUGUACUCCCUCCGUCCGGAAAAAGUUGUCCAGAGCUUAGUUCAUUUCAAAUUUUACAAAAAAAACCUUCCGGUUUUAAAUCUAGUGCUAAUCCCCCCCUCACCUCUGCUUCUUCCUCCUUCGACCAAGCGGCCGUCAUAGCCACCGCCGGCAGCCACCGCCAGCAGCCGCCGUAGAAAGAGCGGGCGACCACCUCCGCCGACGCCCACCUGCGCCGUAGCCCACCUGCGGUUGCUCAGCCGCUACGAACGUGGGCCAUCCGCACGGAGGCGAGCUGCCCCGCCGCCCAGCUGAGGCUGCUCCUCGACCACCUUGACGGGCGCCUCCUCCUCGUGGCCCUGCUCGCGUCCCUGGCCCUGCUCGCCGGUUCCUCACCCUCGCGGCAACCCCAGCCGCCGCUGCCGACCCCGGUCGCCGCUCCCCUCUUGAAGAAUUCGGCAGGCAGGGCAAGGCGGAUCUUCCCCGGCGGAGAGAGGACCACGCAAACCUGCUGAUGCCACAGCCGAUUGCUUCUGCUGAUUGCUUCUGCUGAUUGCCUCUGCUGAUUGCUUCUGCCCUCGACUGCUGAUUGCCUCUGCCCUCGAGCACCUCGACUGCUGAUUGCCUCUGCUGCUGCUGUUGGCUGCAGGUACAGUGCCAAUUGCAGUAUCAAUUUCAUUUUGUCAAAGAAGUACUCCAUCAGCGUCAAUUGCAGUGUCAAUUGGAGUAUUAAAAUUCUCAAUUGCAAUGCUGAUCUACUGCUGAUGUUAUCUGACAUUUACAGUGUUUUGUGUCUGUCAAUCAUACUCCAUUCAGUGUCCUGUGUCAGAAAUUUGGUGAAGUGAAGGUGAGGUGAAGUAACUGAAUUCACUAGCAUAAUCUGAAUCAAACAAAGCAUAGUUUGAAUUCACUAGCAUAACCUGUUGUAGAAACUAGAAUGAGCCUUCUUUUUUUACCCGCCCCCGACCCCGACGCCUCUGGUACUCCGCCUCUGUUCCUGCGAAAUCUUGAUCACAUUAGAGUAAAUUGUUCAUUUGUUCCUGCAAAAGCUUGAUUGCAAAUAAAAUUAACAGGUUAUACAAAGAGUUUAAUUGAUACAGAGAGUUUAAUUGGAUUACAAUCGAAAUUCAUUGUCAGGGUCAAAAUUCAAAGUAUUCCAUGCUUGUCCAAUUGAAUUAAAAACAUGUCCCUAAAAUUGGAAUAUUUGAAUUAGCUAGGUUUAUUCUUCUUCUUCUUCAUAAACAGAAAAAAGAUGAAUAUUGCUGGUCUACUUCAUAAAAUGAAUAUUCUUCAGUAAACACUUGUAAAUCUAGAGUGGUUAUAAACUUAUUUUCUGGAAUCAUCAAUGUGCAUUCAUGCUAAAUGUUGAUAAUUCUUUGAACUUUGAGAAAGAAGAUGAAUGAGCAUCAAUGUGCAUUUAGGCUAAUUCUUUGAACUUUGAUCAUCAAUCCAAAUACACUAUGAUCAAUCCAGAGAAUCAUCAAAGUUGUUCCUAAACUGAAGAUUAUCCUAGUCUGAACAUGUCACAACAUUACUGUCAAAAUUUCAGACUUGACAAUACUAAACUGAAUAUUGUUCCUAAACUGAAGAUUAUUUAGGAACACACUUGUUCCUAAACUUGAUGUUGAUUUAGGAACACAAUCUCUAUCAUGUGUAUGUCUUUUUGAGGGAGUACUGUACCAUCCCAAAACUGAAACUGAAUUUUCUCCUUCCCUGUCACCACUUGCGUACUCACUUAAUUUUUGAACUUUAAUGAUAUCUCUACUGCUUGCUUUACUUCAAUGUUUUCAUUGUUUAUUGGUUUAAAAGGCAAGGCAUAUUGGUUUUCUUCAACUAAAGCAAGGCAAGAAAUAAAAUGGAUACUGUUGCUAGAUACUGUUGCUUAUAUGUUCAGGGGUACUAAAAAUGCACAUUGCUCAUAUGUUCAGAAGAUCCUUACUGUAACCAAAUCAUAUGCUAGCUACUGUCUAUUGCUUUGCCUAUGUUCCUUUAUUUUUGAGAAUGAGCUAGCUUCUGAAGAAAUAAAAUGGAUACUGUAUUAGUCAAAAAUAAAUGGCUCACUUGUUCCUGGCAGAAAAUCAGGACUAAAUGUUGUCAUCGCCUCCUCUGUUGAUUUGAAGCACCAGCAGUACGGCAAGAAGAGUUGGCAAUUGAAGCAGCAGCGCCACGAAUUGAAGAAGCAGCAGCGCCACGAAUUGAAGAAGCAGCAGCAACACAUCAAUGGCAACAGCAGGCAAUUCUGGAGACAAGAGGGACAACAUAUCAGUUGAAAUAACAGCAGCAGAUCAACAGAAAUAGCAGCAGCUUGCCGGUGGCCCUACUGAAUACAGCAACGCAGAGAGCAUCAACCAAAAUGAACUUUAGUCCAUGAAAGUGCAGAGUUUAAGCUCUAUUCAGCAAAUGAAAACAGCAAUACAGACUAACUCUCUUGCUCUCUUGCUCGAUGGUCUCGACGAGUAAUUUAGAUUACAGAAUAAGAAUAAGAACAAGGGCUUGAGGAUGUUCCUAUGAAUUUUGUUGUGUCAUGUUUCUUUAAGGAAUGGCCAUGCAACAGAAGAACUGAGAGAGGGAGUAUAUGACUUCUCUCAAUAAAAUUCAAUUAAAUUAUGGAGCUGAAUCUGACCUCCAGCUCUACAAACUGAAAAUUAUGAAGCUGAAAAUUAUAGAGGCUGUCUCAUACAGUAAAAUUCAGUGAAAUUUUACAAACUGAAAAUUAUGGAACUGGUUCUGAUUUCCAAUUCAGACUCCAGACACCACAGGCACCAAAAUUGAGCAGGGAGCAGUGAGACCAUUAAAUUUAGCUAGACAAGAUUUCAUAGGAGAGAGCCUGUAGGGGUGUGUGCUCUGCACGUACCCUAUGAAGAGGAGAGAUCCGCCUUCAUAUCCGCCGGAAAAGGAAAGGUGAGAUUUUGCUUUUCCCAAUUUGAAAUUUUGCCGGCGGCUCCAACAUCUACAUCGAGGCGCUGGUGGAGGCCGACGGCGUCUUCCGCGCCGCCCACGACUGCCUCUUCCUCUGGCUGGACGCCGCGCUGGGGAUGCUGGAGUGGUACACAUUCGGCCUCGUCGCGGGCAGGGAUAGGGAAAUGUGAGUAUUUUAGGGAACAAAUCGACGGGCAGGGAUGGAGGGAGCGGUGGAGCUGCGGGUCGUGGCGGAGCUGCGCGGUGGAGCUGGGGGUCGCGGCGGCGCGGUGUGGUGGAGCUGCGGGUCGCGGCGGCGCGGCGUGGUGGAGCUGCGCGGCGUCACCGGUGUCGCUGGGGAGCAGUGGAGCUGCAUGAGCGGAGUUGUCGAAGGGGAUGAUGGACUGCGGGUUCGGUCGGAGUUUCUUCGAGGUUUUUUUUGCAAAACUGUCACGCGGACAACUUUUCCCGGACGGAGGGAGUAUAAUACAAUCAUCAUCAUAUUAGUUCUGUCCGAGUGUUGGAUGAGAUAACGGACCAUCAUAUUAGCUCUGUCUCACUUUAGAUGAGAUGACACUUGAGUUCUGACAGAUAGAUUUCCAACCAAAAGCGACGAAUCCAGUGUUCCAUAAUCAUAUUCUCGCGAAAACAAAUCU